CGAUAGUGAACCAGUACCGUGAGGGAAAGGUGAAAAGCACCCCGGAAGGGGAGUGAAAGAGAUCCUGAAACCGUGUGCCUACAAAUAGUCAGAGCCCGUUAAUGGGUGAUGGCGUGCCUUUUGUAGAAUGAACCGGCGAGUUACGAUCCCGUGCGAGGUUAAGCUGAAGAGGCGGAGCCGCAGCGAAAGCGAGUCUGAAUAGGGCGUUUAGUACGUGGUCGUAGACCCGAAACCAGGUGAUCUACCCAUGUCCAGGGUGAAGUUCAGGUAACACUGAAUGGAGGCCCGAACCCACGCACGUUGAAAAGUGCGGGGAUGAGGUGUGGGUAGCGGAGAAAUUCCAAUCGAACCUGGAGAUAGCUGGUUCUCCCCGAAAUAGCUUUAGGGCUAGCCUUAAGUGUAAGAGUCUUGGAGGUAGAGCACUGAUUGAACUAGGGGUCCUCAUCGGAUUACCGAAUUCAGUCAAACUCCGAAUGCCAAUGACUUAUCCUUAGGAGUCAGACUGCGAGUGAUAAGAUCCGUAGUCAAGAGGGAAACAGCCCAGAUCGCCAGCUAAGGUCCCAAAGUGUGUAUUAAGUGGAAAAGGAUGUGGAGUUGCUUAGACAACUAGGAUGUUGGCUUAGAAGCAGCCACCAUUUAAAGAGUGCGUAAUAGCUCACUAGUCGAGUGACUCUGCGCCGAAAAUGUACCGGGGCUAAAUACACCACCGAAGCUGCGAAUUGAUACCAAUGGUAUCAGUGGUAGGGGAGCGUUCUAAGUGCAGUGAAGUCAGACCGGAAGGACUGGUGGAGCGCUUAGAAGUGAGAAUGCCGGUAUGAGUAGCGAAAGACGGGUGAGAAUCCCGUCCACCGAAUGCCUAAGGUUUCCUGAGGAAGGCUCGUCCGCUCAGGGUUAGUCAGGACCUAAGCCGAGGCCGACAGGCGUAGGCGAUGGACAACAGGUUGAUAUUCCUGUACCACCUCUUUAUCGUUUGAGCAAUGGAGGGACGCAGAAGGAUAGAAGAAGCGUGCGAUUGGUUGUGCACGUCCAAGCAGUUAGGCUGAUAAGUAGGCAAAUCCGCUUAUCGUGAAGGCUGAGCUGUGAUGGGGAAGCUCCUUAUGGAGCGAAGUCUUUGAUUCCCCGCUGCCAAGAAAAGCUUCUAGCGAGAUAAAAGGUGCCUGUACCGCAAACCGACACAGGUAGGCGAGGAGAGAAUCCUAAGGUGUGCGAGAGAACUCUGGUUAAGGAACUCGGCAAAAUGACCCCGUAACUUCGGGAGAAGGGGUGCUUUCUUAACGGAAAGCCGCAGUGAAUAGGCCCAAGCGACUGUUUAGCAAAAACACAGCUCUCUGCGAAGCCGUAAGGCGAAGUAUAGGGGGUGACACCUGCCCGGUGCUGGAAGGU
rnacentral:rRNA from 1 species